GACGAACGCUUGCGGCGUGCUUACCACAUGCACGUCGCACGGAACGGCCUCUUUCGGGGGGUCCUCGCGAUGCUAACGGGUGUGUAACCCGUGCGUCACCUGCCCUUGACUUUGGGAUAACUUCCGGCAACUAGGGCUACUACCGGUUACAGCCUCCUGCUGCAUGGUGGGGGUUGGAAAGUUUCGGCGGUGGGGGAUGGACUCGCGGCUGAUCAGCAUGUUGGUGGGGAAGUGGCUUACCAAGGCUCUGACGGGUAGCCGGCCUGAGAGGGUGACCGGCAGCAUUGGGACUGAGAUACGGCGCAGACGCCUACGGGAGGCAGCAGUGGGGAAUGGUGCACAAUGGGUGGAAGCCGGAUGCAGCAACGCCUGGUGCGGGAGGACGGUCUUCGUGUUGGAAACCGCUUUCGCUCGUGGCUAAGCAUUGUGUGACGGUAGUGGGUAAAGAAGCACCGGCUAACUACGUG
rnacentral:rRNA from 1 species